AAAUAAGUUAAAUGAAUACAUGUUAGAAUUGCAAGAUGAUGAUGUUGUUCAUACCAAAUGGUAUCCCAUCGCUACCCAUGUCUAUGAGUUAUGGAUCAUACAGGAAGAUAUAAUAUCUUGGUAGUUCGUGCAAUGCAUAAAGGUAAGUUCAGGUACUCCCCAUCAAGUCAAGUUGGUCAUACAGGAGUAUGAUUCUUUCUUGGUGAUUGUAUCCACCCAAGCUUGUUCGUGCAAUAUCUUGGAUCAUACAGGAGUAUGAUUCUUUCUUGGUAAUUGUAUCCCCAUCAAGUCAAGUUGGUCCUCGCUGCAGCUAGCUGCACCACGUGUUGCUCUAUUACAGGUAUAGAUACAGUAGAAGGAUUUAGAUUCUCAACUUUAUUGUCUAAAACCAAGAAGGAAUAAUAAAAAUAAUAUUUGAUCAAAGCUGUUGCAACUUCUCUAGCAAAACCUUGGAUAAAUCAGUAUUCAUGCACCUUGCCAAUUAGCACAAAUAGAGAUGCAAAUUAUCCCAGAGAGUUAGAAGACCCAAAAAAAGUUAACCCACACAUGGUGCACUCAUACAUAAGAGAAGACCAAAGCAAAGCGAUCAAGCCAUGCAAUUCAAGUUAUUAAAAUACUAAUUAGUUAUUGUAUCUACAUGGUCAGUCUUACGUAAAAACUUUUAAAUGAUAUGGAGUAAUUUGCAAGGAGUAUAUACAUACUAUUUUUUCAAAUGGGAUAUAUACAACUAUUCUCAGAGUAUAUACCUAUGAUACCGGCAAUAAUGAUCAGUGUAUACUCAUUGUCAGAAAUGAGUAUAUGGUGUGUUUUCUUUUGAAAUGAUAGUAUACUACUUUUCACAAAGGGGUAUAGAAGAGAGGGCUAUCUUCCAUAUGAUAUUUCAGUAUCGAUCAACAGCAUAUGUUUCUUUCUGUCUUGUUGUACGUAUACUUGAUUGAUGAGGAGAAAGUAUACACCAAAAGAAAAUAAGUACUGAACUAAGGGAAACCUGUGCGGAGAAGCAUGCAUGCAUCCGGUGAGAAGAAGUAAAAGUGAUAAAAAAGUAGUAUAUACCUGAACAAAAGUAGUAUAUAUGUAUUAUGAAGAAGUAAGACCAAUGAAUUAGAAAUACUCGUGACAAUUAAAUUGAUAGACGCGAACAGGUAUAUAGUUGUAUAUUUAGCUUUCGUUUCUCUGUCACAACAGCUGCUCUUUCUAGAUAAAAAAUUAGCUACCUUUAUCACCUUUGAUUGCUAUUUCCAAAAUAGUCAAUUAAUGCCAUCACCAUGAUAUUAGUUUGUCUUUUCUCAUAUUUUUCUGUCAUACAACAGCUGUUCUUCCUAGAUAAAAUUUUAGCUAGCUUUAUCUACUUUGAUCGCUACUUGUCAUUAUUGUCUUUCCUGAAGAUCAUCUUGUAAUGAGUACAUGUGGUAUUUCAGGCAUUGACUUGUUUAGAGAUUAAAGUGCAGAUACUAAAGAACCUACAAAAUUAAUAAGUAGUCUUUGAUGUCAGAUGCAAAUUGAUGAUACUGUAAUAUAUACCUCAGGUCAGACAAAGUUCCGGCGAAUGGUCGAGUAUGAGUAGACGGAUUAUCGGCGAAAAUCGUCGCUGUACAGCCAAGCGAUGUCUGAAACUUGAGGCACAAUGAUAGGCCAAAAAACUGCAUAUUAUCCCAGACAGUAAGAACACACAAAAUUAUUCAGCCUUGCAUUAGAAUCCAAAGGGUUCAGUGAUGUGUAGUCUCUCUAUCUCUCUGCACUCUCUGUUCCGCUCCUAUUUCUCUUUUUUUUUCUCACCAAAACCAGAUCAGUAAGCACUGGAACCCUGUCUCUCCCUCUCUGCUCUCUCUGUCUUUCUAGUAGCAGCGGCCAGCAGUAGCUCAAUCAAGCCCUGUAUCUAAAUUGCAGCAAUCAACGCCUCUCUCUACUCAGCUGAUUUUAGUCAACUCAAUGACUAAACCAUGCUUUCAUCCACUACCCUCAAUCAGAUGAAAUAUCAGAUAAUGCAGAGCACAAGAUCUCUAAGCUCUGGGCUUCAGAUCGACUCAAUAACAUGGAGAAUGAGGAUUUCUGCAGCUGAAGAACAUGGACAAUGAGGACCAGAUCGAGGGGAAGUAGGAAAAGGGGGGAGAUGAAUGGAUUAUAC
rnacentral:lncRNA from 1 species